rnacentral:rRNA from 2 species
GGUUAAGUUACAAAGGGCGCACGGUGGAUGCCUUGGCACUAGGAGCCGAUGAAGGACGGAACUAAUACCGAUAUGCUUCGGGGAGCUAUAAGUAAGCUUUGAUCYGGAGAUUUCCGAAUGGGGGAACCCAGUACACAUCAGUGUAUUGCUUGUCAGUGAAUACAUAGCUGGCCGGCGGCAGACGCGGGGAACUGAAACAUCUCAGUACCCGCAGGAAGAGAAAGAAAACUCGAUUCCCAUAGUAGCGGCGAGCGAAGUGGGAAGAGCCCAAACCGAGAAGCUUGCUUCUCGGGGUUGUAGGACUGGACAUUGGAGUUACCAAAGUCCGACGUAGUCGAAGUCAGCUGGAAAGCUGCNCCACAGAAGGUGAAGCCCUGUAAGCGAAACGUCGAACCCUCCGUCCAGGAUCCUGAGUACGGCGGAACACGUGAAAUUCCGUCGGGAAUCCCGGGGGAG